GGUGGAGCUUAGUGGUAGAGCAUGUGUCUUGCAUGCUUGAGGACCUGAGUUCAAGCCCCAGUACCA
rnacentral:tRNA from 1 species